UACAGAGGUCUCAAGCGUUGUUCGGAUUCAUUGGGCGUAAAGGGUGCGUAGGUGGCGAUGUAAGUCUAACGUGGAAUCUCGGGGCUCAACCCCGAAAUUGCGUCGGAUACUGCGUUGCUAGAGGAUUGUAGAGGAGAGUGGAAUUCAUGGUGUAGCAGUGAAAUGCGUAGAUAUCAUGAGGAAGACCAGUUGCGAAGGCGACUCUCUGGGCAACUCCUGACACUGAGGCACGAAGGCUAGGGGAGCAAAC
rnacentral:rRNA from 1 species